GCCUUUUCAUUUAUGGUUAACCUUAUUGUCAUAUCUAUCCAUCUAAUACAUAUACAUCAACUAAUUAUAAACCAUUACCUUCGGUUUAUAUUUGUUGUGGUCCCUAUAUUUUUUAUUUAUUUUUCAAGUGUUCAUUUUAUCCAUCAAUUAAUUGAUUUCAUUAAUGUUUAAUUUUUCUUUUUUGAUCAAAAAGGGUUGAGAUCCUCCGCAGAAACGCAAGAAUUUGUUCAGAAAAUGUCUUAAUCUUAAUAUUAGACUUUUUAAAGCCCUGUUUUUGAAUUACCAAGUCAUCUAUUUCUUGUGAGACCUGAAAAUGUUGACCAUGCGAUGGAGAUUUCAUUGCAACUGUGUUACUUUCUCACGUCUGAUGAGUGAUGAGGGCUUUGGGGUAUUAGUGGCUGAUCUUGAGGAGUAGCUCUAGGGGCACAACAGUUUUGGUUCGUUUUGGGAGGUCAUAUGAGCCUAUUCAGGUUGAGCACAAAAUUCAAGCUCCUUAAGUUGGGCUCGCCAUCUCUCUAAUAUUGAACAGGCUGAAAGCUUUCUUCAGGAAUUUAUAAUUUGGGUGUAAGAAGGUAUAAAUUGUAAAUAUUCAUACUUUUAUGAAAAUUAUUAGAAGUUAGAGGAUUAGGCUGUGGUGUAUGAGAAACAACAAAUAUAUAAGGUAGUUGGUAUCAUUAUAUUCAAGGUUUUAUGUAGACUUUGUGAUGCAU